rnacentral:rRNA from 1 species
ACACGUAAGCCUCGAGCGUUGUUCGGAAUUAUUGGGCGUAAAGGGUAUGUAGGCGGAGCUGAAAGCCUGUCGUGAAAUGCAGAAGCUUAACUUCUGAGCUGCGAUGGGAACUUCAGUUCUGGAAUCCCUGAAGGGCAGCCGGAAUUCCAGGUGUAGGGGUGAAAUCUGUAGAUAUCUGGAAGAACACCGAUGGCGAAGGCAGGCUGCUGGCAGAUGAUUGACGCUGAGGUACGAAAGUGCGGGUAGCGAACAGGAUUAGAUACCCUGGUAGUCCGCACAGUAAACGAUGCACACUAGGUGUAGGGGCAGAAGUCUCUGUGCCGGAGCGAACGUGAUAAGUGUGCCGCCUGGGGAGUAUGCCCGCAAGGGUGAAACUCAAAUGAAUUGACGGGG